UGUUGUUACAUUAUCAGUCCAAAACAUAUCUCUAAUUAUUAUUCAAUUAAUAGAUUAUAAUUCAAAUCGAUCUUCGCGUGUUCGUUUGGAGCAACAUACUAAAAUAUUCGCAUCUAUGUGUCCCGAUGAAAUCCUCGAUUUUUAUGAUAACUACGAAACCAGAGAAUAUCACACGACACUGCUGCUCGGUGACAUUUCAGGCUUCACAGACCUCACGGAAAAAUAUACGAAGACCGGCGUUGGCGGACCUUCCAAGCUGUCGGAAACAUUGAAUAGUUAUAUCGGCGCGAUGGUGCAAGAAAUUCUUUCGCAUAACGGAGAUGUCGUAAAAUUCUCCGGCGACGCAUUCAUAGUAAUGUGGAAGCUCCAAGAAGGGAUGUUUAUGCGUGAUAUCGCGGUGGAAGCGAUGCAAACCGCCUGUAUCAUACAAAAACAUUUUGGAACCUACAACACUGAUGUUGGUGUAACGCUCAGAGUAAAACUUGCAAUUGCUUCUGGAAUAACAUACUUCACGUCUAUUGGCAGUCCAGAAGGGAUGUCCUAUUAUGUCAUUACUGGAAAACCUGUCUGGGAUGCAAAGUUAGCCGAAGGAUUAUGCCGAGGUGGAGAUAUUCUCGUUGCUCCUAGUAGUUGGCAAUGGGCAAAUCCUAACGACUACGUUUAUGAGAAAUUGCCAGAUGGCGUGCAUACUCUGAUUAUAGCUUGCUCAGCAAUGUGGUAUCAUUCCAGACCUCUUAAUAUUCACAGUGACACUGAAAUCGAUAAGAGAAAUAAUAUUGAACAUGACGGGAACUACGUCGAUUUAUUGCAUGAUGCUAAAGCGCCAAAUAGUACAGCUAUAACGUUUUGGACUGCCGAUACUCAAAAUGGAAAUAAUUUCGAACAAGUCGACUACAGUCUGAGGCCCAAAAUCAUAAAGGUAGCUAAAGAGCUACUGAAGGAUUCAUUGAGAAGCUACAUGCUCAGACCUGUAAUACGAUCUAUCGAAAUGGAUGAACCGUUAGAGCAUCUUACAGAAAUGAGACAAGUAGUCAUCCUCUUCAUCAAUGUCAUUACGACGGUUAUGGAUAACAAAGAAUUGAUUUCGCUCGUUAGUGCAGCUUAUAAAUUAGUCUGUGGAGUAGUCUGCGAAAUGCACGGAUGCGUGAAUAAGACAUCUCUCUUCGACAAAGAUCUAAUAUUUCUAUGCAUAUUUGGAUUACGUGGUGACAAACACGUGCUGGAAUCGCAGAUUGGACUGAGAUGCGCCAGCAGAGUGCGGCAAGAUCUCUUAGAAAUGAGUAACGUAAAAUCUGUGACAAUCGCCGUUACUACCGGAAUGACAUAUUGUGGUGUAGUCGGUCAUAUCUUACGGAGGGAAUACACUGUAAUAGGAAUGUCGGUGAACAAGGCAGCGCGCUUAAUGGUCGCCUACAAUAACAAAGUAAUAUGCGAUCGUGAGAGCUUCCUGCGUUCUCGUCUCGAAGCGAGGCACUUUACAUUGCAGGAACCGAGACAUCUGAAAGGAAUCACAAACGUCGGUCCUGUCUACGAGUUUGAGGAACAGAUAAAUAAAUUCGACUCGCCUGAAUUAACGCGGAGAAAAUUUCCUUUACUCGGACGGGAAGCGGAAAUCAAGAUUUUUCGACAGAUGCUAUCAAAUCUGAUAACGCGUUUCAGUUCAAACAAUGCGACGCAGCAUUUACAAUCCGAGCACAACGUGUUGGUUAUAAAAGGUGAACCGAGAAUUGGCAAGACAAGAUUGUUGGAUGAAUUUGCACAGAAUAUUCCCAUAGGUGUAUCACGCAAUUAUAUCUCCUUGGUCAUGAGUGAUUCUAAGACUUCUUACAAUUUGAUCCAUAUGAUAUUCUCUGUGCCACUGGGCUUCAACAUCACCACAACACCAAGGGAGCGAGAAGAGAUACUGAUGUCUCAACUGGGCAACGUAGAUGCAUCAGAAUUUCUCUGCGCUCUUAAUCAACUCUUCAAUGUGCAUUUUAUGAUAAGCACGCCCUAUGCAGAACUAUCCGAAAAGCAAAAGCGCAAAGUAUUGCGUAAUUUUUUGCUUAAAUUAAUAAAAAACUGCUUCAGAGAACUGUGUGUGGUGAUCAUCGAUGACGUUCAAUACAGUGACAAUAAUUCAAUGAAAUUAUUUGGUACGAUAGCUAAGCAGAACACAAUUUUCUUCAUCCUCAGCUUUGGGCGUCAGCUCAACGGCGAAUACGAAAUACAUCCUAGAGUUUUAGAAAAAGCACAAAUAAUCGAAUUGGGUCGUAUAGACAAGUGGUAUCAUGCAGCGCUUGCAUGUCAGAUCCUUGAUGUAUGUGGAAUUCCUCCGGAACUCGAAAAAUUAAUCCAAGAAAAUAGUUUUGGCAAUCCGGGAUGGAUAGAAAGUUAUUUGUUAAGCCUCACGCAAUCUGGUAGCCUCGUAAUAAUCCAUAUCAGAGCAACGAUCGCCGAGGAAAUGGGCUACGUGCUUCCUCCCAUUUAUAUGCUGAAAAGAUUUGCUUCAGAAGACAUUUUUCUGAAUAACGGAAAUAAUGAAGAACGUUCGGACAAAUGGAAGAUGUACAAAACAAGUUAUCGAAACGGUCAGUUCGUAUCUUCGAUAAGGAUACAAAGCGCCAUCCACAAAUCGGGAAUGCCAAUUUAUAAUGAAGAAACUAUUGCCGUUUGUAAAUUUACGGAAGGCUUUACAUCAGAAGAGGCAGAUGCUGAAAUGACGAUGGAUGUAAUGAUCUUAAAGAUUUUCGAUUCUUUAACACCGUUGGAUCAAUUAUUAUUAAAAUGCGCGUCGGUUUUGGGAGAAAUUAUUAAUAGAAGCAUGCUGGAAUAUCUAAUGGACGACAAAUCUACGAGAGAAAUUGGACUAGCUGUCAAGAAACUCUUCGAGAUUCGAAUCUUUGGAUGCGCACAGGGCGAUUUUACUACGAGCGGCAGACCGCUAGUAUUUUACAGAAAUAUAAGAAAAUCUACUGUCGAAGAAGAAAUUGAGUGCGAAUGUGUGGAUCUUAUUAUACCAGAAGAGCUAUCUGACUUGCCGCAGUACGCGUCUUGUGGUCUGAUGCAUUUCAAAAUGUCGAUGUUUCGCGAAACUACUUACAGGUUGCUCACGGAAAAUCAAAAGAUGGAGUUACACAGUAAGGCGUUAAAAUAUCUUCGGCAACAUACCAAACGAUGUAUGGCUUGCGGUGAGAUACAAUUUAUAAGACUGUUGGGAAAAUCUGCCGCACAGGAUUCUAGAAAAACAUGGUUAACUAUCGACACCAACGAAAUGUAUCAACAAGAAGAAGCAACUUACACUUCCAAAGAAGAAAUAGAAAACGGUAUGCAAGAGGUGACAAAGAGAACACCGAUUUAUCUCAACAUCUUUCGAAAAGUCAGGAGACCUACUAAGACUUUUUUUAAUGUUGAUUUCGCCAACUGUCAAUGUCAUCUUAUCUUAAUGACCGUCUACUCUCAGAUGUUGGACCAUUGUCAAGGAAUAGGAAAACAAGAUAUAAUCUUGACGGCGAUUUUGGAAUUUGUGGAGAUUUGUUUAGCAAGUAACAACAUACCUCAAGCGCAUAGACUUCUGAGUGAUGCUGAAACUUUAGUGCAGCAAAUGUUUGAAAUCAACGAGGAGAAAUCAAUAUUGCUGUUUUAUCUUACCGCAAAAAUCCAAACGCUUCAAGGUAAAUGCCAUUGGGAAAAUGGUUUAAUUGUUGAAGCAAAUAAGAAUCUGAACGACGCAAUGAGCAGUUUAGGCUACAACUUUCCACAUCACAAAUUUACUAUUGACUUGAAGUUGGCAAUUCAACUCGAAAUACUAAAGUUGAGAUUGAUUUGUCCCAAGCGUUGGAAAAUCGACACCACCGAUGAACUAACUACGAAUUAUAUCGAGCAACUGGCUAAUUGCUUGGCGCAGAUGUUUAAUGUUUUCAGAGGGAUGAAGGCAAUGAAGAAACACGCGCGGUUAGCAGCCAUUUGGGGUUUAAAUGCUGCGCUGGAUGCAUCGAAUGAUUUCUUCAUUCUCUGCGCUUCGUUCACGAACAUGAUGCUCACUGCGCACGUUUAUCAAACCAAGUUACUUGUUCCUUAUUUGGAAAAAGAGGCUCUCAGCAUCUGCGCGAAGAAAGGAAGUUUACUCGAAUUCCAAGAGCUCAAGGCCAUUGCUGAGCUUUACGCGGCAGUAUUUUUCUCACGAUGGUUGAGAGGAGAGAUCGGCAAAGCGAUAAGAAUCGGUUUUAUUACAAUGAGGAUGGCGCAAACUUUGGACUCCAUGUUUCUCAAAUUGCUCAUACUACCGAGAUUAGCGCACUUGCUUAUGAUUUCGUGUCGACAUUCGGAAGCAGUGGCUAUGCUGAGAGAAUUGGAAUUUACAUCGCAACAUGUCUUGGAUAAAUCGAGUCGCACUUGGUAUUACGCUUUAUGCGCUGAUGUUCAACUCGACACAGGCCUCACAGUCCUUUCGUUUCAAAGUUGCGACAAAUAUUAUCUUAAGGAAGGUGAGACCAUAGUCAGUUUUCAUGAUCCAGAAGCAGAAAGACGAUAUUUCACCUCUAUGUGGUUAUGGUGCAUCAGAACGCAGCAGUGGGAAGCUACAAAAAUCUGGCGCAGUAGGAACGUGACGGCCGAGAGUGAGGUGGACGAGCAUAAAGUGGCAGCGACGAUUACCGCGUUGAAGAAACUUGAGGGACUGUUAAUUUUAUAUGUAAGGGAAGUUACUAACAGGAAUAUAAACGCAUUGAUCACACUAACAGAAAUUAAGCAUGAAUUCCAGCAUAUAAAAAGUAUGAUAAAGAUCGUAAAAAUUGCAAUUCCCAGAUAUAUGUUACUGAAAGCUUAUUAUUAUAUGAUACAGUCCAAAAAAAAUGCUGCAAUAAGAAUGUUACAAAAGACAAAAAAGUUAUGUUUAAAAGUCGACAACAGAAUGAUUUAUGCUUGGGCAAAUCAUUGUCAGCAGGUUUGGCUAGGUGCCAUAUCUUCCAUACAGGAGGACUUGUGGAAAGAAAAGACGAUUAGUAAAUAUGAUGAAUGGGAUGAAAUAAAUGCCAAUGAUUCAACGUUGAUUCCUUUUACACUUCCAUUACCGACUUAUGUACUGUAGAAUCUAUGUUAUUUACGUAAGAUGUGUGUAUACAAUAUAUCUACGUUAAUGUGUAUUAUGUAUAAUGUAUAAGUGACGUAAAAAAUUAUUAUUCUUUAAACAAAAGUUUUACAUGGCGUUGAAAAAAUAUCUCAUUUUUCGAUUAUCUAGGACUUUUUAUGAUACUCACAGGAAAUAGAUGUAAAUAUUUAAAUUCAAAUAUUUACAUCUAUUGUUCUUUAGUGCAAUACUAUGACGACAUAUAAUACAACAUUGACACUGAUCAACGAGCGGAUUAUUGUGCAAUGGAGCGCGAUGGUGUGAACCAUGCGACUGUGUGCGUUUCGUUAAUGAUAACACGCGCGCCGGAUAGCUAGAAGUGGUCACUGUUAAGUGAAUGGUGAUCGGUAUAAACAAGCCAAUGCUACAAGAGAGACCUACAUAUCUUUCCUCUGAAUUAACGAGAAGCAGGGACGUUUUAUUGCCUAGAUGCCUACAUCAAAGAUGCCCAACUACUCAGUCGAUACUAUUUGUAUCUACCAUAUAUUUUGGAAAUAACACUUUGUAUAACAAAUAUUUCGUAAUAUCUAUGUCAUAACUAUUUUUAUCUAAUGCUUCCUUUUGUAAUAUAAAUGUGUAAGUGGUACGUAUUAUUUACAUAACAAAUAUGUAAUAAUUAAAUGCCGAGAAUUUAAACUUUAGAACUAUAAUAUAAUAUAGACGUUAUUUAAAAAGUAGUUAUGUAAACUAUCGUUACUUAACAUCGUUACUUAAAAAAAAAAAAAUACAAAAAUAUAAUGUGACUACAAAAUUGCUGCAACUUUCACGUUAUAUAAAAUGUGAUAUUUAUAGCUAUCAUGUAGUGUGUAGUGAAAUCACAACUGUGUCGAUUGGAUCGUUUUUCCGACAGACCAGAUUUCAAAUUUUGAUCAUUGCCCGCGGGCCAAACUAACAUUUCUUAUAUAGAUUUCAGAGUCUAUCCUUUCUCGUUUGCUUUCUGUUUCGUUUCAUCUAAACGACAAAGAGAUAGAAAUGCUUUAAUACGCGAGUUUUGAACUAGCAAUAAAUAUGAAAAAAAUUUUGCGCAUUAUUACGAGGUUCUAUUGUACAAGUUUUAGACGCAAGUUUUAGACUUCGAAUUCUGUAGUCUCUUUUAUAUUUUAGAAUACAAACCCGAGCCGGAGAGAAAGAAACUGACAAGCUACGUGGGCCGGAUGUUGAGCAUUCGCGACCUAGAUCCGUAAAUUAGAGAUUCGAAACAAAAUAACA